GCUAGCCAAGUCCCGUUACGAGGCUCCUGCGCACCCCUUGUUGUUGCCAUCCAUGUUUUCCGAAAACGGUUAGGAGCCAUCCGCGGUCUACUGACAGGACAAAAUAUGCUGCUUCCCCGAAAAGGACACUUCCCUUGGUAGCGGAGGGUUUUAACAACCUGAAGGCAGCUUGUGAUUUCCUUCACUGGAGAUGGAAGCACUGAGGCAUAGAGCCGUGCCUUGCCCAAGGUGAUGCUGGGAUACAAACCACCAGUCUGCCCAGAGCCUGUGCGCAUGACCAUUACGCGGCACUGCCUCCCCAAAAGUGCAGACUGUGGGCGAAAUGGUUUGUUCAAAGGGACGCUUGGUCAUUCUGGUACAUUAUCCUCCUCGUGACCAUUUGCCUUCAAUUGCAGGUCCCUGAGACCCUUUUUAAAGAGGUUCCUCUUGAUCCUUGAGAAUGGGGACAAGAGUGAAUCACCUCAUUAGACUCACGAAGAUAGAUUAUGGGUAAUUCAUCACGAGCUCCGGGUCCCAGAGCUGCUGAACGCUUGUAUUCCGCUACAUCCACAUCAAAAAGAGCACUGUGCCGUCAGACCGCUGUCCGGUCCCUGAGGCCCUCUUACUCACCUCUGCUCCUCCAUAAACCACAGUCCUUAAAAUAAAAGCCAAUAAAGAGUG